rnacentral:rRNA from 1 species
CAGAAGUGCGAAUGCUGACAUGAGUAACGAUAAAGGGGGUGAAAAACCUCCUCGCCGGAAGACCAAGGGUUCCUGUCCAACGUUAAUCGGGGCAGGGUAAGUCGACCCCUAAGGCGAGGCCGAAAGGCGUAGUCGAUGGGAAACGGGUUAAUAUUCCCGUACUUCUUACAAUUGCGAUGGGGGGACGGAGAAGGCUAGGUGGGCCUGGCGACGGUUGUCCAGGUUCAAGUGCGUAGGCUUAAGAGUUAGGUAAAUCCGGCUCUUUUUAAGGCUGAGACACGACGUCGAGCUACUACGGUAGUGA